rnacentral:misc_RNA from 1 species
GCAAACUUGGUCAUUUAGAGGAAGUAAAAGUCGUAACAAGGUUUCCGUAGGUGAACCUGCGGAAGGAUCAUUACCGAGUUUGGGGUUCCCCCCCGGGGGGGCCCGAACCUUUCCACCCUUGCCAACUUCAUCUUCCGUUGCUUUGGCGGCCGUGGGCUCCUCAGAGCUAUCAGCCACAAUUGGUAGCUGAGUGCCGCCAAAAGCCCCCCUAAAAAUUCGUUUUCAAUGAGUCUGAGUGGGAAAUUUUAAUUGAAAAAACUUUCAACAACGGAUCUCUUGGCUCCAGCAUCGAUGAAGAACGCAGC